CCCUUAGAUGUCCUGGGCCGCACGCGCGCUACACUGAUGCAUUCAACGAGUUUUACCUUGGCCGAGAGGCCUGGGCAAUCUUUUAAACCUGCAUCGUGAUAGGGAUAGAUUAUUGCAAUUAUUAAUCUUGAACGAGGAAUUCCUAGUAAACGCAAAUCAUCAAUUUGCAUUGAUUACGUCCCUGCCCUUUGUACACACCGCCCGUCGCACCUACCGAUUGAAUGGUCCGGUGAGCCAUUCGGACUUUCAUCAUGCUGGUUUCCAGUUUUGAUGAAGGAAAGUCUUGCGAACCUUAUCAUUUAGAGGAAGGAGAAGUCGUAACA
rnacentral:rRNA from 1 species